UGGGGAAUAUUGCACAAUGGGCGCAAGCCUGAUGCAGCCAUGCCGCGUGUGUGAAGAAGGCCUUCGGGUUGUAAAGCACUUUCAGCGGGGAGGAAGGCGGUGAGGUUAAUAACCUCAUCGAUUGACGUUACCCGCAGAAGAAGCACCGGCUAACUCCGUGCCAGCAGCCGCGGUAAUACGGCGGGUGCAAGCGUUAAUCGGAAUUACUGGGCGUAAAGCGCACGCAGGCGGUCUGUCAAGUCGGAUGUGAAAUCCCCGGGCUCAACCUGGGAACUGCAUUCUAAACUGGCAGGCUAGAGUCUUGUAGAGGGGGGUAGAAUUCCAGGUGUCGCGGUGAAAUGCGUAGAGAUCUGGAGGAAUACCGGUGGCGAAGGCGGCCCCCUGGACAAAGACUGACGCUCAGGUGCGAAAGCGUGGGGAGCAAACAGG
rnacentral:rRNA from 1 species